rnacentral:rRNA from 1 species
CCUGGUUGAUUCUGCAGUAGUCAUAUGCUUGUCUCAAAGAUUAAGCCAUGCAUGUCUAAGUAUAAGCAAUCUAUACUGUGAAACUGCGAAUGGCUCAUUAAAUCAGUUAUCGUUUAUUUGAUAGUACCUUACUACUUGGAUAACCGUGGUAAUUCUAGAGCUAAUACAUGCUAAAAACCCCGACUUCGGAAGGGGUGUAUUUAUUAGAUAAAAAACCAAUGCCCUUCGGGCUCCUUGGUGAUUCAUAAUAACUUAACGAAUCGCAUGGCCUUGUGCCGGCGAUGGUUCAUUCAAAUUUCUGCCCUAUCAACUUUCGAUUAUAGGGUUUGGCCUAUAAUGGUUUCAACGGUAACGGGGAAUUAGGUUCUAUUCCGGAGAGGAGCCUGAGAAACGGCUACACAUCCAAGGAAGGCAGCAGCGCGCAAAUUACCCAAUCCCGACACGGGGAGGUAGUGACAAUAAUACUGAUACAGGGCUUUUUGGGUCUUGUAAUUGGAAUGAGUACAAUUUAAAUCCCUUAACGAGGAACAAUUGGAGGGCAAGUCUGGUGCCAGCAGCCGCGGUAAUUCCAGCUCCAAUAGCGUAUAUUAAAGUUGUUGCAGUUAAAAAGCUCGUAGUUGAACCUUGGGCCUGGCUGGCCGGUCCGCCUCACCGCGUGCACUGGUCCGGCCGGGUCUUUCCUUCUGAGGAGCCGCAUGCCCUUCACUGGGUGUGUCGGGAAUCAGGACUUUUACUUUGAAAAAUUAGAGUGUUCAAAGCAGGCCUUUGCUCGAAUACAUUAGCAUGGAAUAAUAGAAUAGGACGUGUGGUUCUAUUUUGUUGGUUUCUAGGACCGCCGUAAUGAUUAAUAGGGAUAGUCGGGGUGUCAGUAUUCAAUUGUCAGAGGUGAAAUUCUUGGAUUUAUUGAAGACUAACUACUGCGAAAGCAUUCACCAUGAUGUUUUCAUUAAUCAGUGCUUCGUUUCUCGUUUUCAUCCCAGCAUCAUGGGACAGUUCCGACCCUCCUUAUGAAACGCCGACGACCUGACCUCCUCCCAAGUGGAUGACUUUCCCAACACUAUCGUGUU